rnacentral:tRNA from 1 species
GUUAAGGUGGCAGAGCCCGGUAAUUGCRUA